GAGGGUAUAGCUCAACUUGUAGAGCUGUGCCUAGCAUGCAUGAGGUCCUGGGUUCAAUCCCCAGUACUUCCA
rnacentral:tRNA from 1 species